GAUGAAGAACGUAGCGAAAUGCGAUAAGUAAUGUGAAUUGCAGAAUUCAGUGAAUCAUCGAGUCUUUGAACGCACAUUGCGCCCCCUGGUAUUCCGGGGGGCAUGCCUGUCCGAGCGUCAUUGCUGCCCUCAAGCACGGCUUGUGUGUUGGGCCCCGUCCUCCGAUCCCGGGGGACGGGCCCGAAAGGCAGCGGCGGCACCGCGUCCGGUCCUCGAGCGUAUGGGGCUUUGUCACCCGCUCUGUAGGCCCGGCCGGCGCUUGCCGAUCAACCCAAAUUUUUAUCCAGGUUGACCUCGGAUCAGGUAGGGAUACCCGCUGAACUUAAGCAUCUCAAUAAGCGGAGGA
rnacentral:misc_RNA from 1 species